GGAGGUGUCCGCGCAUGUCUCGAGACAAGAAACUGAAUCGCACUCAGGAGGUCGUCGGUUCGAUCCCGAUCAGCUCCACCA
rnacentral:tRNA from 1 species